rnacentral:lncRNA from 1 species
GUACCCGCACAUAACAGUUACAGUUUCACGUUUGGGUAAAUACACCGUACAUAAUCUUUCGGGUAGUAAAUGUCACACCGUAUCAACACCCGUAGUUUUCGAGAGAUUUCCAGUUAUACCAGUAACCGCACAUAAAGUUUAUAUAACUUUUCGGGUAGUAAAUGACCCACCGUAUUCACAUCCGUUAAUUUUGGGCGAUUUACAGUUAUAUUUAUAGUCGUACCCGCAAUAAAAAUUUAAAAAUACAAAAACAUUUCAAAGACAAAAAAAA